rnacentral:rRNA from 1 species
UACGGAGGUGGCGAGCGUUGUCCGGAUUUACUGGGCGUAAAGGGAGCGUAGGCGGGCUUUUAAGUGAGAUGUGAAAUACUCGGGCUCAACUUGAGUGCUGCAUUUCAAACUGGAAGUCUAGAGUGCAGGAGAGGAGAAUGGAAUUCCUAGUGUAGCGGUGAAAUGCGUAGAGAUUAGGAAGAACACCAGUGGCGAAGGCGAUUCUCUGGACUGUAACUGACGCUGAGGCUCGAAAGCGUGGGGAGCAAACAGG